UUUAAAUAAAAUUUCAUAAUUUUCACUAUGCCAAAAAACGCUUCGGACGGCAGAUUUCAGACAACAAAAUUCUUAUUUUUUUGUUGUCUAAACUUCUUCAACGUCUUCAGAGUUCAGACAACAUAUAAGUGAUAUUGUCUUAAUAGUAUUAAAAUCCAUACUGGUUCAAUUUUUUCAACUUUCUUGGAACUUAAAAAAUUCAAGAUUGAUGGGUUCGGGUUCGAAAUUGUAAAGGCACAUCAGCUCUGCCGAUCCGGCAAGACCCGUACGAAGUCUUGUGUGUUUCUAGGGAUUCAAGUCAUUCAACUGAUUAGGAAAUUAAAACGGCGAACUGGAAACUCGCUCUCAAGUGGUCGACAAUGUUGUUUCUUCAAGAAACAUUACUGAAUGGUUGCAGAACAAUGCCCUCGAGCAGCUCAUGGAGUUCACAUCUCAUCUCUACAAAUUUCUUGCGCCUGAUGUGACUUUGAUAACAGAUUUUUGCUACUGUAGAGUUUGGCCUUAAAGCCAUUCUUAUGAGUGCCCCUCCAGCUCUCAUCUCUUAUGUGAUGAAGUAGUUGCACUGCAAAAUCAAGAAUGUCGAAGAACUAGAGCUGCUGAUGGAGAUGGAAUAUGCUUGGUGGGUGUGAUUGUUCGAAUGCAAGAUUGGUGAAACCAUUGUUCAUGCUCAUGCCAAAAGUUUUUUCAUACCAAUUUGAACUUCUCUUAUGUUGACAUCUCCGAUUCUGGAAUACCUUUGAAACCUUUCCGUUUUCAUGUCUCACAUAUGUACACAACUGGAUCAGUCAUUCGCACAUGUGGAACAACAUUAACAUUUGCAGCAAUUUCAGUUUCAGCAACAGCAGUAGUAGCUUAUUCCUUGGCAUUUCUAUAAAUAUAUGGCAGAAUGAAAUAUCAGAAUUUGAAUGAUGUAUUG
rnacentral:lncRNA from 1 species